AUUGAACGCUGGCGGCAUGCCUUACACAUGCAAGUCGAACGGCAGCACGGGAGCAAUCCUGGUGGCGAGUGGCGAACGGGUGAGUAAUAUAUCGGAACGUGCCCAGUAGUGGGGGAUAACUGCUUGAAAGAGCAGCUAAUACCGCAUACGACCUGAGGGUGAAAGGGGGGGAUCGCAAGACCUCUCGCUAUUGGAGCGGCCGAUAUCAGAUUAGCUAGUUGGUGGGGUAAAGGCCUACCAAGGCAACGAUCUGUAGUUGGUCUGAGAGGACGACCAGCCAGACUGGGACUGAGACACGGCCCAGACUCCUACGGGAGGCAGCAGUGGGGAAUUUUGGACAAUGGGCGCAAGCCUGAUCCAGCAAUGCCGCGUGCAGGAAGAAGGCCUUCGGGUUGUAAACUGCUUUUGUCAGGGAAGAAAUCCUCUAGGUUAAUACCCUUGGGGGGAUGACGGUACCUGAAGAAUAAGCACCGGCUAACUACGUGCCAGCAGCCGCCGUAAUAC
rnacentral:rRNA from 1 species